ACAAUGGACAAUACAAAGGGCAGCGAAACCGUGAGGUCAAGCAAAUCCCAUAAAGUUGUUCUCAGUUCGGAUUGUAAUCUGCAACUCGACUACAUGAAGCUGGAAUCGCUAGUAAUCGUAGAUCAGCAUGCUACGGUGAAUACGUUCCCGGGUCUUGUACACACCGCCCGUCACACCACGAGAGUUUGUAACACCCGAAGCCGGUGGAGUAACCUUUUAGGAGCUAGCCGUCGAAGGUGGGACAAAUGAUUGGGGUGAAGUCGUAACAAGGUAGCCGUAUCGGAAGGUGCGGCUGGAUCACCUCCUUUCUAAGGA
rnacentral:rRNA from 1 species